UACGUAGGGUGCGAGCGUUAAUCGGAAUUACUGGGCGUAAAGCGUGCGCAGGCGGUUUUGUAAGCCAGAUGUGAAAUCCCCGGGCUUAACCUGGGAAUGGCAUUUGGGACUGCAAGGCUUGAGUGCGGCAGAGGAGACUGGAAUUCCUGGUGUAGCAGUGAAAUGCGUAGAUAUCAGGAGGAACACCGAUGGCGAAGGCAGGCCUCUGGGCUGACACUGACGCUCAUGCACGAAAGCGUGGGGAGCAAACAGG
rnacentral:rRNA from 1 species